UCCCGGCUAACUACGUGCCAGCAGCCCCGGUAAAACGUAGGGGGCGAGCGUUAUCCGGAUUUACUGGGCGUAAAGCGCACGUAGGCGGCAUCGUAAGUUGGACGUGAAAGCUCCCGGCUCAACUGGGAGAGGUCGUUCAAAACUGUGGUGCUUGAGGUUGAUAGAGGAGAGUGGAAUUCCCGGUGUAGUGGUGGAAUGCGUAGAUAUCGGGAGGAACACCAGUGGCGAAGGCGGCUCUCUAGGUCACACCUGACGCUGAGGUGCGAAAGCGUGGGGAGCGAACGGGAUUAGAUACCCCGGUAGUCCACGCUGUAAACGAUGGAUACUAGGUGUGGGAGGUUAUUUACCCCUUCCGUGCCGUAGCUAACGCGUUAAGUAUCCCGCCUGGGGACUACGGCCGCAAGGUUAAAACUCAAAGGAAUUGACGGGGGCCCGCACAAGCAGCGGAGCGUGUGGUUUAACUCGAUGAUACGCGAAGAACCUUACCUGGGCUUGACAUGGUGGUAGUAGUGAAGCGAAAGCGGAACGACCCUUCGGGGAGCCAUCACAGGUGCUGCAUGGCUGUCGUCAGCUCGUGUCGUGAGAUGUUGGGUUAAGUCCCGCAACGAGCGCAACCCUCGUCGCUAGUUAUAUGUGUCUAGUGAGACUGCCGGUAUCAAACCGGAGGAAGGUGGGGAUGACGUCAAGUCAGCAUGGUCUUUAUGUCCAGGGCUACACACACGCUACAAUGGCCGGUACAAUGGGUUGCCAUACCGCGAGGUGGAGCUAAUCCUCAAAGCCGGUCUCAGUUCGGAUUGCAGUCUGCAACUCGACUGCAUGAAGGUGGAGUUGCUAGUAACCGCGCGUCAGCAAUAGUGCGGUGAAUGCGUUCCCGGGCCUUGUACACACCGCCCGUCACAUCAUGGGAGUCGGCAACACCUGAAGUCGGUGACCAAACCGAAAGGUAGGACUGCCUAAGGUGGGGCCGCUAACUGGGAUGAAGUCGUAA
rnacentral:rRNA from 1 species